rnacentral:rRNA from 1 species
UAUUGGACAAUGGGCGCAAGCCUGAUCCAGCAAUACCGCGUGUGUGAAGAAGGCCUUAGGGUUGUAAAGCACUUUCAAUUGGGAGGAAAACCUGCCGGUCAAUACCCGGUAGCUUGACAUUACCUUUAGAAGAAGCACCGGCCAACUCCGUGCCAGCAGCCGCGGUAAUACGGAGGGUGCGAGCGUUAAUCGGAAUUACUGGGCGUAAAGCGUGCGUAGGCGGUUCGUUAAGUCAGAUGUGAAAGCCCUGGGCUCAACCUGGGAACGGCAUUUGAAACUGGCGGACUAGAGUUUAGUAGAGGGGAGUGGAAUUUCAGGUGUAGCGGUGAAAUGCGUAGAUAUCUGAAGGAACACCAGGGGCGAAGGCGACUCCCUGGACUAGAACUGACGCUGAGACGAAA